GGAUCGGACUCCGCUCCCUUUUCAUGAAGGAAAUCCGCAUCGAGUAUCCACAGCAAUUCAACAGUGUGGCCAACUCGAGUCCGGAGGUGUUCACAUUCGUGCAGACCCUGUAAGCAGCACCAGCGCGGCUCCAAUAUCAGACCUCACAACAAAUACCUUGCUCAUACACAUACACAUUCAAGAGAGUUCCAGGCCAAAGUUUCUUCAGUUUCGGAGUAAAAACAAAUCUCAAAACCUUGAUUACACAGUACACGCAGUGAUGUCAGUCAGUCCCAAAAUAUUGGGACUUCAUAGAUACAUAUAAAAACUCUCGAAGAAAUCCAUCUCGGAGAUAGUACAUGGAGAUACACGAUAGAUACGAGCUAAUGGAAUGUUAACGAAAUGUUUUUUAAUUUAUAAUUGCAAAGCGAUAUGGAAUAGUCUGAAAUAAAAUAAACCUUUCGUCCAUCUGUUUCUAUGCGAA
rnacentral:sRNA from 1 species